AGAGUUCGAUCCUGGCUCAGGAUGAACGCUGGCGGCGCGCCUAACACAUGCAAGUCGAACGGCACCCCUCUCCGGAGGGAAGCGAGUGGCGAACGGCUGAGUAACACGUGGAGAACCUGCCCCCUCCCCCGGGAUAGCCGCCCGAAAGGACGGGUAAUACCGGAUACCCCGGGGUGCCGCAUGGCACCCCGGCUAAAGCCCCGACGGGAGGGGAUGGCUCCGCGGCCCAUCAGGUAGACGGCGGGGUGACGGCCCACCGUGCCGACAACGGGUAGCCGGGUUGAGAGACCGACCGGCCAGAUUGGGACUGAGACACGGCCCAGACUCCUACGGGAGGCAGCAGUGGGGAAUCUUGCGCAAUGGGGGGAACCCUGACGCAGCGACGCCGCGUGCGGGACGGAGGCCUUCGGGUCGUAAACCGCUUUCAGCAGGGAAGAGUCAAGACUGUACCUGCAGAAGAAGCCCCGGCUAACUACGUGCCAGCAGCCGCGGUAAUACGUAGGGGGCGAGCGUUAUCCGGAUUCAUUGGGCGUAAAGCGCGCGUAGGCGGCCCGGCAGGCCGGGGGUCGAAGCGGGGGGCUCAACCCCCCGAAGCCCCCGGAACCUCCGCGGCUUGGGUCCGGUAGGGGAGGGUGGAACACCCGGUGUAGCGGUGGAAUGCGCAGAUAUCGGGUGGAACACCGGUGGCGAAGGCGGCCCUCUGGGCCGAGACCGACGCUGAGGCGCGAAAGCUGGGGGAGCGAACAGGAUUAGAUACCCUGGUAGUCCCAGCCGUAAACGAUGGACGCUAGGUGUGGGGGGACGAUCCCCCCGUGCCGCAGCCAACGCAUUAAGCGUCCCGCCUGGGGAGUACGGCCGCAAGGCUAAAACUCAAAGGAAUUGACGGGGGCCCGCACAAGCAGCGGAGCAUGUGGCUUAAUUCGAAGCAACGCGAAGAACCUUACCAGGGCUUGACAUAUGGGUGAAGCGGGGGAGACCCCGUGGCCGAGAGGAGCCCAUACAGGUGGUGCAUGGCUGUCGUCAGCUCGUGUCGUGAGAUGUUGGGUUAAGUCCCGCAACGAGCGCAACCCCCGCCGCGUGUUGCCAUCGGGUGAUGCCGGGAACCCACGCGGGACCGCCGCCGUCAAGGCGGAGGAGGGCGGGGACGACGUCAAGUCAUCAUGCCCCUUAUGCCCUGGGCUGCACACGUGCUACAAUGGCCGGUACAGAGGG
rnacentral:rRNA from 1 species